UACAGAGGGUGCAAGCGUUAAUCGGAAUGACUGGGCGUAAAGCGCACGUAGGUGGUAGAAUGCGUCUGAUGUGAAAGCCCUGGGCUUAACCUGGGAAUGGCGUUGGGAACGGUUAUACUCGAGUCGGAGAGAGGGUAGUUGAAUUUCCGGUGUAGCGGUGAAAUGCGUAGAGAUCGGAAAGAACACCAGUGGCGAAGGCGGCUACCUGGUUCCAGACUGACACUGAGGUGCGAAAGCAUGGGGAGCAAACAGG
rnacentral:rRNA from 1 species